AGCAUCAAUUUUAAUUUCAAAGUUUUUUCUUUCAACUAUUUGGAUUGAUUGCUUAUUCUACAUGUAUAAAUAUGACCUACCUCAUUUCCAGUUCUUCAUCCCUUCGAACCGUUUUUCUUUUUUCUUACUAUUACAAUUUUCCCUUCUUUUACGAUUUACAAUGGCAGCCGCAAGACGCGAUUUUGCCUUCAUUUACUACACGGACUUAAUCCAGUAUGUAUUUGAGCUUCAAGAUGGACCUUGUGUAGUUAUUAGUGGUGCUAUGAUUGACAAUGAUGCUGGCACCAAUAAGGAUUAUUGGAAAUUCCUAUUCUAACAUGGAACCACUUAAAAGUAUUUUCUAUAAUUCCUAUACUAACAUGAGAACCUCUCUGAAGUGGCCUAAAAUCAUCUAUCUUUUUUCAGUGCUUUAAGGAAUCCAUAAACAAGAUUCUUGGAUUUAAAUUUCAAUAUUAUCAGCGUGUGGAAGUCAGUAAUCCUGUACCGUAUGGGCUUUAUAGACUUGCAGCCUUGCUGGUGAAGCAAGACUUUAUUGAUCUUUAUAGCAUGUAAGAUGAUGUGCUCAUAAGAUGUUGUGCUCAUGUGUUGCUCAAGAAUUACAUUUAGCUUUCUUAUAUAAUAUAUGGUAGUAGUAACUCUAAGAAAGUGUCCAAUACCAAAUCAUAUUUUUGCUCUAUGAUCAUACAAAGUGGUGGUUGCAUUGAAGAAGAUUUACACGCACCAUUUGUGAAUGUAAAAUAUUAAUCAUUUAUUGUA